rnacentral:rRNA from 1 species
UACGGAGGGAGCUAGCGUUGUUCGGAAUUACUGGGCGUAAAGCGCACGUAGGCGGCUAUUCGAGUCGGGGGUGAAAGCCCGGGGCUCAACCCCGGAAUUGCCCUCGAAACUAGAUAGCUAGAAUCUUGGAGAGGCGAGUGGAAUUCCGAGUGUAGAGGUGAAAAUUCGUAGAUAUUCGGAAGAACACCAGUGGCGAAGGCGACUCGCUGGACAAGUAUUGACGCUGAGGUGCGAAAGCGUGGGGAGCAAACAGG